GUGCUCCUUCAGCAGCACAUAUACUAAAGUUGGAACAAUACAGAGAAGAUUAGCAUGGCCUCUGAGCAAAAAUGACACGCAAAUUCGUGAAGCAUUCGAUAUUGAC